UCUCACCUGUCACAUAAUGAAACAGAGGAUUUUCUGAGUACUGUGCUCACUUUAGGAGUCCUUAAAGACUUGCAGCCAACCACAAGAGAUUUGGAGUGCUUUCCUCAUAGCGACACGUUUGAAUGUUGCAGUUAGCACCAGCGGUUUCAGGAGUAAAUAAAAUCAUGGUGACGAUGGAGAUAAUUAAGAGAAGAAAAACUCUGCUGUGGUGUUUUCACAGCUUCAUACAUCUGUUCAUACUCAUCAGGGACGAGCCGAGAUUCCCAGACAAUCCCAUUUCCAGGAGGCAGGUGAGGCGUGAAUGUGAGUGCACGGGGGAGGACAAGGCUGGCAUUUGACUCUGCUGAGUAAGCAGAAGAUAUGCAGUUUGCCAGCGAAGCCUACCUCAUAACGAUGUGUGUGUGUGUGAGUGAGAGCACAGUGGCGCUCAGAUGGCAGCUGCUGAGGCUAAUCCCGAGCCUGAGGGACGCAGCCCGGCCCCCAGUGUCAUGCCAUCCUGCCAGGCCUGACGGAGGUGCAUUCAGCCGACCGCUUAGUGUCAUCCGACCGCCGUCACUCAGCCCGUAAUCACAUGACUGACAGACAGGCGGUGCCUUUGAUGGCGGAUUUUAGGAGUGCCGUCGUGUGUGUGUGUGUGCCACAGGAGGGCUGCCUGUUCUUCAUGAGGACGGAUGAUUCUGAUCCAGCUUAGUGAUGAAGAUGAUGAUGAAGAUUACCUUGGUGGGGCAGCGACUCAGCUCAGAGGGACCGAAGAGACACAAAGCCUCAGAUUUACUGUGUGUGUGUGUGUGUUUAACCGUGUCACACACGCCUCACACUCCAAGUGGUAAAAUCUGAAGUACACAUGUAAUCACACGAUUAUGAUAAUACACAUCAAGUGUCUUCUUAGAUGACAGUGUGUGUGUGAUGGUGAGUUGUGUUUGAGUUUGAUGGGGUUGGCGGUGAGCAUGUUCGCAAAAAUCCUGUCGGAGCGCCAAUGUGCCGCGUUCUUAUUGACUGCAAAAUCAGCGGAAACAGGUGACCGCUACCUGCUGAUACUCACUUACUGAUCCUUGAAGUGUGCAGGAGUCGCGUGACCACCGUGGACUAGUCGCUGAUGGUGUUUGAGAUGAAUCAGACGUUCAUAAGUCACAUGACCUGUGAUUAUUUCACAGCACAAAAAUACUUCAAUUAUAGAAGAAAUUAUUUAGUCCAAUUCCAUAACUGUCCCGCAGCAGUGAAUUAACUUCUUUCAUUACAGGAGGCGUGGUACAGGUUGAUCGCUGCUGCACAUCAUUGGUUAGUGGGCGGGGUUACUGUUUGAAGGGGCAUGUUUUAACCCAAACCAAUG